rnacentral:rRNA from 1 species
CGCCCAUUAGCUAGCCCCUCAACUAGAAAUAUCAACCCAUCAUAAAUUAAACCAUAAUUCCCCUUACUCAAACUAACCAAAACAUUCUCCCCCCUUAGUAUGGGCGACAGAAAAGGGACAUGAGGAGCAAUAGAGAAAGUACCGCAAGGGAACGCUGAAAGAGAAAUGAAAUAAACCAGUAAAGCCUAUAAAAGCAGAGAUUUCCCCUCGUACCUUUUGCAUCAUGAUCUAGCCAGUAAAUCUUAAGCAAAGAGCGCUUUAGUUUAAUACCCCGAAACUAUGGUGAGCUACUCCGGGACAGCCUAUAAUAGGGCCAAUCCGUCUCUGUGGCAAAAGAGUGGAAAGAGCCCCGAGUAGUGGUGACAGACCUAUCGAACCUAGUUAUAGCUGGUUGCCUGAGAAAUGGAUAGGAGUUCAGCCUCAUGGCUUCUACCCUUAAAACCUUAUUAAUUUAUACCAAGAGAACAAAGGAAACCAUGAGAGUUAAUCAAAGGAGGCCCAGCUCCUUUGAUAAAAGACACAACUUUAGCAGGAGGGUACAGAUCAUAUUUUCUUCAAGGCUCAGUGUCCUGGUGGGCCUAAGAGCAGCCAUCCAUUCAAAAAGCGUUAAAGCUCAAACACAUCAGCCUCCCCUGUAAUAACGAUAAUAACAUCUUAACCCCCUAAACCCUAUCAGGCCGUUCCAUACCCCUAUGGAAGUGAUAAUGCUAGAAUGAGUAAUAAGAGAGUGAGCCUCUCUCCCCGCACACGUGUACCUCGACCCGGACUAACCGUCGAAAUUUAACGGCCCCUACAAAAGAGGAAAAUGAUUUUAAAAACAGAUAACAAGACAAACACUCAACCGCUAAACCACCGUUAACCCUACACUGGAGUGCCCCCCGGGAAAGACUAAAAGAAAAAGAAGGAACUCGGCAAACACCUAGAGCCUCGCCUGUUUACCAAAAACACCGCCUCUUGCAAAAUUAAUGAAUAAGAGGUCCCGCCUGCCCUGUGACCAGCGUGUUUAACGGCCGCGGUAUCCUGACCGUGCGAAGGUAGCGCAAUCAAUUGCUCUUUAAAUGGGGGCCUGUAUGAAUGGCGUAACGAGGGCUCAACUGUCUCCUUUUUCAGGUCAAUGAAAUUGAUCUCCCCGUGCAGAAGCGGGGAUAAUACCAUAAGACGAGAAGACCCUAUGGAGCUUUAGACACCAAGGCAGACCAGGUUCAUCACCCCUAUUUAAAGGGUAAAACUUUUUGGCCCCUGCCCUAAUGUCUUCGGUUGGGGCGACCCCGGGGGAAAAAAAAGCCCCCGUGCGGAACGAGGAUCUAAUUCUCCUAACUAAGAGUCUCCACUCUAAUAAUCAGAACUUCUGACUUAACUGAUCCGGCAAUGCCGAUCAACGGACCAAGUUACCCUAGGGAUAACAGCGCAAUCCUCUUUUAGAGUCCAUAUCGACAAGGGGGUUUACGACCUCGAUGUUGGAUCAGGACAUCCUAAUGGCGCAGCCGCUAUUAAGGGUUCGUUUGUUCAACGACUAACGUCCUACGUGAUCUGAGUUCAGACCGGAGCAAUCCAGGUCGGUUUCUAUCUAUGUAAUGAUCUUUUCUAGUACGAAAGGACCGAAAAGAGGGGGCCUCUGCUACAGGCACGCCCCACCCCCAACUAAUGAAUACAACUAAAUUAGAGAAGGGGGCAUACCUCACCCAUGUCUGAGAAAAUGACAGGUUAAGGUAGC